CAGAGCUAACAGAACAAUAGCGCACACAUCUGAUUCUCUUAGCCUCCACCUUCAAUCUCGUCUGUCUCCGCCUCUCCGGCCAUCCUCCUCCGCUCCACCUUCGGCCGUCCUCCUCCAGGCUCCGGUCGUCCUCCUCCGGCCACCACUUGUUGUUUCCACCAUUCCAACCUUCAAAUUUCUCUCAUCCUCAAUUUAUCUCAGGUCUGGGUCAUGGCUGAGCUUUUGUGUUAUAAAUAA
rnacentral:lncRNA from 1 species